rnacentral:lncRNA from 1 species
UGAAGCCAAAGUUGUGCACAGGCCUGGGCAGAGUCCUCUGCCGGCUGUGAGUUUCACUCAAGGUAGCUCACUUCUGUGCUUUGAGAGCAAGGUGUGAUCUGUGUAGUGUGUUGCACCCCAGGGUAGCAGCGUACGGCCUGCAGUGCUGGGAGCAGAAAAAUGACUCUAGUCCUUCUUUUAUGCCUUUUCUGUUCUGAUGGCCCCAACAGGCACAGUGGACCUUGAGGUGCUGACCUAAUAAAACACGAUGCUAAGGCUGAGCUCUGGCUGGUGGAGUUGCUGAGACUGCUGCUAACAUGAUGCGUGCUCCGUCUCUGUGCACAGAAGAACUCAAGACAAGAAUCAAGCAUGACAGACCCCACAAAUACUGGUGCCACAGUACGAUUUCAGUUGAACAGCAGAUAUUGGUUGAUUUGACUGGCUGAGGGGCAAGGGAUUAGCUACAAGUGCUAAAAACCAAUCUGAUCAAAAGCUAAUUGUGUUCCAAAAAAGUUUUAAGAGAUAAUUUGUAUUGUAAUAUAUGUGAUUGGAGAGAAAACUCUUUAGUUUUUAACAAAUUCUGAGUGUGUACAGGUGUGAAAUGAAAAUGUAAUGCUCAUUUGAGGAUGGAGUUUAUAUAUUUAAGCUGUAAUUGUCAAGCAGUCCUAGGUAGCUGAUAAACAGUGGUGUAAAUCUCAUGAGCAAAAGUUAAGAAACCGUAGCUCUCAAGACUGCAGAGCCACACCUGAGCAGGACAGAUCAGUGUGCGACAAGCUGAGAAAAUGGCUCUUUUAGCUUUAGCCUGGCUUUUCAGGAUUGGUUAGUGAGUAGUCCUUAAAGAAUCUUUUUCCUCUUGGAAGUUAUAUGUUUCAAGUUAAAAUACUUAUUUCAGUUAAUAUUAAGUCAUUUUAAAUGAAUGAAGGACUGCAGCUGUCUGCUGAAAGCUGAAAGUGCAGCUAGAGCAGAAGUAAACAACCACAUCUCCUAGCUAAAGGCUAUGUACUGGAGGCUCAAUAAGCUCCCACUAAACCCACCUUUUCUCAUAAAGGGCAUUUUCUUCCCUGACUUCUCCUUCCUGAAAGUGUGGAUAAAUAGGAGACCAUGCAGCACAUCUCCUAGCUAAAGGCUAUGUACUGGAGGCUCAAUAAGCUCCCACUAAACCCACCUUUUCUCAUAAAGGGCAUUUUCUUCCCUGACUUCUCCUUCCUGAAA